ACACACACACACACACAAAUAUAAUUUAAAACCAAUGAUGUAAAUGAAAUAGGUCAUGGACUAUGUUUAUUGAGUGUGGCUCCCAAUGACCCCGUCCAAAGCCCCAUUUUCAGUCUGUAAGUUUCAGGAUUUCGUGGAUAGCUCUCCCAGCUCAUUUCUUCUCUAUUGAAGGAAGAAUCUUUUUCAAUUUCACUGCGGUAGGGUAAGCCUUACUUGCCAUUUCUGUCGGGCCCCUGUGUAAUUGUAAUCUUUACCUUCUGAAUUAGCAUUAGAUGAUUUAGAGCUUUUUAAAAAUCAUUAUCUAAUUAAUUUGUGACGAAUUGUGCCAGUUGCCAAGAGAACCAGCCUUAAUGGGAUCUCUUUCAGCUUCCACAUUCGUUAAUUCUCUUUGAGAGCCAUAGGCUUAUUCAUGACCUAUUACCAUUAAUAAUGCUUAAAUGAACUCAGAUGUAAUACUUGAUCAUGCAUCAUUUAUCCUUUGAUACAUUUAGGAUAUAUUUGAAGUUCAUACACUGGAGGAUGUCCAAGGCAUACAGAAAUAUUAACCAUUAUUCACAUAUCAGAAAACAUUACACAGGAGCUAUUCCCACAUGGGAGUGCAUGUGGGAAGCUGUGUGGCUGACAAAUGGUAGUUGGAUUUAGGGUUCCACCAUCCAACAGCUCUGGCACCGUUUCCCAGAAUGAGCUUCCUAGUUCCUUGCUAUAAAGCUGCCUGAUGAUUUACAGGAUUAGUUUCUAUGAAAAUAUUCAGUGGAGGCAUCUAUACCUUCACAAUGCACCCUGUAGGAUACUGAAAAAAAAAAUCUUUCAGGAGGAUGAGAAUGGCAAGGAACAAGAGUAGCAUACAGGGAUCAUGUCACUGCAGAGGGAAGUGAGAGAAAGGCCAACCAAACAUUUGGCUCAUCCACAGCUGUCUCCUUUAGUACCAGCUCAGCACGCUCUCUGGAAACAAUCUGAAACUUAGACAUGGAGCCUGUGGCUUCUCUUCCUUUCCUCGCUGCUUCUGUGGGGAUGCUCUGUCAAGAAGUGUGGCUCAUUUUUCCAUAUAGAGUUGGGAUUUUCCCCUUUAUGAUCUCCCAACACCAAAUUGAGAAGUCCAAACAUCUCUAUUUAAAAGAGAAGGUGUUUAAUAAUUUCAGGAAAAUUUCUUUUUAGCAUAGGACUCUUGUGAAUAUCUUCUCAAACAGGAGCUUUAGUCGUUAAGGACUGACACCAUUUCAUAUGUGACUUUUGUCACAGAUAUACUUCCCACUGGAUUGACCAUCAGAUGUGCAGACAAGAACUAAGAAGGACAUUCAGGGCUGAUAGUUACUUAGUGAUUGAACACAUGACCCAUAGUAGUUUUAGAUCUAGUCUCCAACUAGAGGGCACAAGGAUUAUCUCUGUAGAACGAGAGGCAGUCAAACAAAACACAGUCUGCAUGAUUAUUCUUGCUUUGGUAACUGGAAACAAAGGUAAAUACUGAAGGCAAGUUGCUUUCUGGCAUUCAGGAAGCAAGAAAACUCCAGGAUUGGUUGCUGGCAUUGGAACUUGGGUAUGAAAGGGGAGAUGGAAAUAGAAAGAUACACAGAGGUAGAAAUCUCCCAUAGCCUCUGCGAAGCUGAAUUUGAAACAAUUUAUAGUUAUUGUCAACAAAGAUUCUCUUGCAUGUGAAAAGGCCGUGGUGUCCCUGACAUCUUGGCUACAUGGCAAACCAUGGCUGUAUGUCUGCAGGUGUGUCCGUGGAAGGAUGUGUGCAUGUUUUGUGAUAAUACUGCAGACUGCUUCUGUGGGUGUCAACCUGAAACUGUCAUAAGAACUGCCUCUGUCAACCAGUGACAUCCUUGAGGUGAAUUUUAAGUAGACACUGGCUCAGGAUUCUUCUCUUCCUUGGGUUUCUUCAUAAGUAAUAUCCACACUUGUCUCUCAGUAGACUGAUGGAUGAAUAGGCAGAUAUACAUUUCACAGUGUUUCAGUAAUAAUCUGUCCAUCUCUACAGUUCCUGCAGAUCAGUGCUAUUUUCAUAUGCCAGAAGCCUUAUUAAAAAAUGAUAGGCAUCAAAUAGGUAGAAACAAUGAUGGUUUAGAAGUCAAAAUGCUCAGGGUUCAGGUGCCUGUGACUGGCAGUGUGUGUCCUGAGCUCACUACAAUUUUUAUGAAAGUCAAAUUUGUUUGUUAAGCAAUAACAAUUACCCUUUUCACAGCUUCUUUUGUUUGCUAUGUAAUUCUGAAAAUCAUUAUUUUCUUCAUCUGUAAGAUGGAAAUAAUGUUGGGGCCCUCAAGAGGCAUUUACAAGAAUUAAAGAAGAUGCUUCCAUUUGAGGUGUUUACAAUGAGUUCUGGCAGAAGGAAAGUACAGUCUAUGGUAGUUUGAAUGUAAUUGGCCCCCAUAAUUUUCUAGGGAGUGGCACUAUUAGGAGGUAUGGCUUUGUUGAAAUGGGUAUGGCCUUGUUAGAGGAAGCAUGUCACUGUGCAGGCGAACUUUGAAGUUUUUUAUGCUCAAGAUACUACCCAGAGUCUCAGUUGACUUCCUGUUGCCUGCAAGAUGUAGAACUCCCAGCUACUCCUCCAGCACCAUGUCUGCCUGCAUGCUGCCAUGCUCCGUAUCAUGAUGAUAAUGGACUGGAUCCCUGAAACUGCAAGUGAGCCCCCUCAAACUGUUUUCCUGCUUAUCAGUAAGAGAAGCCAAGGCAGGAACUUUGUGAAGACAAGCAGGAAAAAGGUGUCCAGAAAUCCAGAGAUGUAUUUCAUGCAUCCCAGAUCUUAGACUACACUGAGGAAGAGUUUCUUCCUGAUGACUGCAUUAUUCUUGUCCAAUUCUCCCUGGGAGAGAUUCGACUUCUGCAAUUGGAGUGAUGAGAUUACAGAACAGGACACGGAAUCUAGCUGCAAUGCAUGUCUUGACAAUAUUUCACCAUCCCAAAUAAGACCUUUUGAGUCAAAUAGUGAGACCUCAUUUACAC